GACGGUACCAGCAGAAGAAGCACCGGCUAACUACGUGCCAGCAGCCGCGGUAAUACGUAGGGUGCGAGCGUUAAUCGGAAUUACUGGGCGUAAAGCGUGCGCAGGCGGAUUGUUAAGCAAGACGUGAAAUCCCCGGGCUUAACCUGGGAAUGGCGUUUUGAACUGGCAGUCUGGAGUGUGUCAGAGGGGGGUAGAAUUCCACGUGUAGCGGUGAAAUGCGUAGAGAUGUGGAGGAAUACCAAUGGCGAAGGCAGCCCCCUGGGAUAACACUGACGCUCAUGUACGAAAGCGUGGGUAGCAAACAGGAUUAGAUACCCUGGUAGUCCACGCCCUAAACGAUGUCAACUGGUUGUUGGGGGAGUGAAAUCCCUUAGUAACGAAGCUAACGCGUGAAGUUGACCGCCUGGGGAGUACGGUCGCAAGAUUAAAACUCAAAGGAAUUGACGGGGACCCGCACAAGCGGUGGAUGAUGUGGAUUAAUUCGAUGCAACGCGAAAAACCUUACCUACCCUUGACAUGUCCAGAAUCCUGCAGAGAUGCGGGAGUGCCCGAAAGGGAAUUGGAACACAGGUGCUGCAUGGCUGUCGUCAGCUCGUGUCGUGAGAUGUUGGGUUAAGUCCCGCAACGAGCGCAACCCUUAUCAUUAGUUGCUACGCAAGGGCACUCUAAUGAGACUGCCGGUGACAAACCGGAGGAAGGUGGGGAUGACGUCAAGUCCUCAUGGCCCUUAUGGGUAGGGCUUCACACGUCAUACAAUGGUCGGUACAGAGGGUUGCCAAGCCGCGAGGUGGAGCCAAUCCCNAGAAGCGAUCGUAGUCCGGAUUGUCUCUGCACUCGAGAGCAUG
rnacentral:rRNA from 1 species